CUUCCAUUGGGCGAGAUCUGCCACACGCCCUCCCGCCGACCAAUGGAAAGCGGCUGACGCACGGAGGCAGUGCCCAGAAUGGGCGCGAUGUGACGACGUCAUCAUGGAGCCAUAGGUUGCUGGGAGAGCAGCUGGUUGCCAGGACAACUGGCCCUUCCGCAGACGCGGGCUAGCCGGCUGGAGAGAAGAUCCACCCGGGGCGUGGAGUAGGUGGGCCCUCGCUGUUGGCGUCCAGCUCAUGCCGAAUUUUUAAAAUCCAGGGUACAGAAGGACUGAUGAUAAAAAACAGAAAGAGAGUAGGGACUGUUAGGUCAGCGCUUGUCACCAUUUAAAAUGUCAGCAGUGUUACACAAAAACAGUGGAGAUGUGUCUGCAAGAGCUGCGGCUCAGGUAGAAGCAAGGACAUCUCAGUCUCCCUGAAGAUUCCAGCAUGAGAAAGAGGUUUAUGAAUAUCAUCUCCCACCAAGAAGAACCAGGGACCUUGGAGAAAUGGUCCAGAGGAAUCCUUAUGGCUCAAGGGGCAAUCAGUUCCCAUGAGAUGACCUUCCUUACUCAGCAGGGACACUGCCUCGAUUUUCAUCAUGGGAAGAUCACAAGAAGGCGAGU
rnacentral:lncRNA from 1 species